CGGGAGGUAAAUUUCUCCUAAGGCUAAAUAUAGGCGAGAGACCGAUAGCGAACAAGUACCGUGAGGGAAAGAUGAAAAGAACUUUGAAAAGAGAGUCAAACAGUACGUGAAAUUGUUGAAAGGGAAACGAUUGAAGCCAGUCGUACCGACGGGAAUUCAACUUCUUUAAGUGCUUGUCGUGGGUGACCGUUGAGCUUCGCGGCCUUCGUUGCUUUGCGUUAUGGUACUUUUAGGGUGUACUUUUCCGUAUGGUAGGUCAAUAUCGAUUUUGAUCGUCAUAAAAUGAUCGGAGGAAUGUGGCUUCGAUCUCGUAUCGGAGUGUUAUAGCCUUUGGUAGAUGUGACGAUUGGGAUCGAGGAUUGCAACGAAUACCCUUUUGGGCUAUCCGUCUGACCUCUGAAAGUCGCUCGGGUGUCGAAAGCGUGCUUAUGACAUUCUAGUUGGCGGUCAAAAGGUUAGAACGUGAUUACAUUCGUUAAGGAUGUUGACGUAAUGGCUUUAAACGACCCGUCUUGAAACACGGACCAAGGAGUCUAACAUAUAUGCGAGUGUUCGGGUGAUCAAACCCUUACGCGUAAUGAAAGUAAUUCAGGUGGGAUCGCGCUUGUCGUGUGCACCAUCGACC
rnacentral:rRNA from 1 species